UACGAAGGGGGCUAGCGUUGUUCGGAUUUACUGGGCGUAAAGCGCACGUAGGCGGAUUGUUAAGUCAGGGGUGAAAUCCUGGAGCUCAACUCCAGAACUGCCUUUGAUACUGGCAAUCUCGAGUCCGGAAGAGGUGAGUGGAACUCCUAGUGUAGAGGUGGAAUUCGUAGAUAUUAGGAAGAACACCAGUGGCGAAGGCGGCUCACUGGCCCGAUACUGACGCUGAGGUGCGAAAGCGUGGGGAGCAAACAGG
rnacentral:rRNA from 1 species